rnacentral:rRNA from 1 species
GACAGAGGUGCCAAGCGUUAGGCGGAAUCACUGGGCUUAAGACGUGUGUAGCGGGUGCUAAGUACCUUGUGAAAUCCCACGGCUCAACCGUGGAACUGCUGGGUAUACUGGUUGUCUUGAGCCAGCUAGGGGCGAGCGGAACAGACGGUGGAGCGGUGAAAUGCGUAGAUAUCGUCUGGAACGCCGAAGGUGAAAACAGCUCGCUGGGGCUGCGCUGACGCUGAGACACGAAAGCCAGGGGAGCGAACGGG